GCCUCUGUAAUGCAGUGGGUAGCACACCACGCCCUGGUAUGAAAACAAGGGUUCAACUCCCGUCUGAGGCC